UAGCUUAGAGGUUAAAGUGUCUGCCUGCAAUGCAGGAGACCUGGGUUCUAUCCCCGG
rnacentral:tRNA from 1 species